AUCUUAGUAACAGGACGAAGAGAAAAUAACCCAAUGAUUCCGAGAGUAGCGGCGAGCGAAAUUGGAAGAGCCUAAAUUGUGUGUACGUGAUAGCCUGCAAGCGUUGUGCACAUGAGGUUGUGGGACUUGCAUCAUAUUUUGCAGAAUAUGGAUUGAGUUAGAAAAUUAUUUAUUAGUUAAAGUCAACUGGGAAGUUGCGCCAUAGAGAGUGAUAGCCUCGUAAACGACAAUAAAUAAUCUCAAGUAAGUAUCCCGAGUAAGGCGGGGCACGUGAAACCCUGUCUGAAUCCACCGGGACCAUCCGGUAAGGCUAAAUACUAGUCAGUGACCGAUAGUGAACGAGUACAGUGAUGGAAAGGCGAAAAGAACAGUGAGAAGCUGAGUGAAAUAGACCCUGAAACCGUUAGCUUACAACCAGUCAGAGCACAAUUAAUUGUGUGAUGGCGUGCCUGUUGAAGAAUGAGCCGGCGAGUUAUUUUUUGUUGCGAGGUUAAGGAGAUCAUAUCCGGAGCCACAGGGAAACCGAGUCUGAAUAGGGCGUUAAGUAACAGGAAAUAGACCCGAACCUUGGUGAUCUAACCUUGACCAGGAUGAAGCGUGGGUAACACUACGUGGAGGUCCGAACCAACCGAUGUUGAAAAAUCGGUGGAUGAGUUGAGGUUAGGGGUGAAAUGCCAAUCGAACCAAGAGCUAGCUGGUUCUCCCCGAAAUGCGUUUAGGCACAGCGUUGGAUUUAUCUUGCAGGAGGUAGAGCACUGGUUUUGUGCGGGCGUCGAAAUGAUGUACCAAACAAUGUCAAACUCCGAAUACCUGUAAUGUCAUUAUCCAGCAGUGAGGCUAUGAGUGAUAAGAUCCAUGGCCAAGAGGGAAACAGCCCAGAACGCCAGUUAAGGUCCCUAAUAUAUGCUAAGUGGUUAAGGAGGUAGAGUUACUGAGACAACCAGGAGGUUGGCUUAGAAGCAGCCAUCCCUUGAAAGAGUGCGUAAUAGCUCACUGGUCAAGUGACUCCGCGCCGAAAAUACACCGGGACUAAAGCAUAUAACCGAAGCUGCGUCAUAUAGUUUACUAUAUGGGUAGGGGAGCGUACUGUAGUAAGACGAAGCUAGAGUGAAAACACUAGUGGAUGAGGCAGUAGUGAGAAUGUCGGCAUAAGUAGCGAAAACAUUGGUGAGAAUCCAAUGCACCGAAAACCUAAGGUUUCCCACGGCAGGCUCGUCCGCGUGGGGUUAGUCGGAUCCUAAGCUCAGGCCAAACGGCGUAGGCGAUGGACAAUAGGUUGAUAUUCCUAUACUAUCUGAUAAUCGUUAUCAGAAGCGGAGGGACGCAAGAGGAUAAGCACGCAGUCGACUGGAAGAGACUGUAUAAGCGUGUAGCUAGGUUUGACAGGAAAAUCCGUCAAAUCGUUAAUGUGAGGCGUGAUGUGGAGAGUCUACGGACUCGAAGGUGUUGACUCCAAAUUGCCAAGAAAAUCUUCGCUCUCGAGAUUAUUGGGUAUCCGUACCGUAAACCGCCACAGGUAGGUUGGUAGAAAAUACUAAGGUGCGCGAGACAACUCUCGCUAAGGAACUCGGCAAAAUCACCUCGUAACUUCGGGAGAAGAGGUACCCUGGUAGCGUGAAGCGAUUUACUCGUGAAGCGUGAUAGGGUCGCAGUGAAUAGGCCCAAGCGACUGUUUACCAAAAACACAGGUCUCUGCUAAGUCGAUCAAGACGAUGUAUAGGGGCUGACGCCUGCCCGGUGUCGGAAGGUUACGCGGAAAUGUUAGAAGCAAUUCAAAGCAUCGAAGCUAAGCCCCGAUGAACGGCGGCCGUAACUAUAACGGUCCUAAGGUAGCGAAAUUCCUUGUCAGGUAAGUUCUGACCCGCACGAAUGGCGUAACGAUUUGGGCGCUGUCUCGGCGAGAGGCUCGGCGAAAUUGGAUUAUCCGUGAAGAUACGGAUUACGUGUACCAGGACAGAAAGACCCUAUUGAGCUUUACUGUAGCUUGAAAUUGAAUUCGGGUUCUCAUUGCGCAGUAUAGGUGGGAGACUAUGAAGCUUGAACUUUGGUUUAAGUGGAGUCAUCGUUGAGAUACCAUCCUUGUGAAAAUUUGGAAUUCUAACCUUGAUCCCUCAAAGAACAGGGCAAGGGACAGUUUCUGGUA
rnacentral:rRNA from 1 species